rnacentral:tRNA from 1 species
GGAGAGGUGGCUGAGCGGUUGAAAGCACCGGUCUUGAAAACCGGCGAGGGUGUGAGCCCUCCGUGGGUUCAAAUCCCACCCUCUCCGCCA